AGGGAAUCAUAAACUCUAAUUACGUUAUAGUUAUAUGGGUUGAGCCCUCUCCCCUUCUCAUGAACUUUUCUGGUCGAAAUCGCUCCGUCGGGCCGGAGGCGGCGGAGCAAUCCAGAAACCUCGAUAAACACCACCGCCAAAAUAAUCUCACUUCCCUCUACCCAUUCCUACCAUUCAUUUCAUCUAAAAACUUCUAAAUCCCUUAAAUCAACGCAAACCUCAUAAGAACCCUAAAAAUUUCAUAACAGAAUUAAAUGGAGCUGGUAACAUGGAUGGAACCCAAACCUUAUGGGCUUGGUUCCUCUACUACGAAGCUACAUAGUAGUAACCAAAUGAAGCAAACAAGAGAUGAAAUCUAAGGAAAGAUACCAACUUAUAAGGCAGAGGGAGCCUUGGAUGCUGUUGAAGCUUGAUGAUGAUGAAGACGCAGCAAGAAAACCAGAGGAUUCUACAGGGUGGAAGCAUGCUUGACUUAGGCAAGGUUGAAUAUGGACUUUGACAUGGUCAUGGUAGUUUGGUAAAAAGAUCAAGAAUCAUGAAGAAUAAGAUUGUGGAUAGCUUGGGAGUGAAGAGAGUGUUGUAAUUAGUGUUAGGACUAGAAAGUUGACUUUGGUCAACUAGUUAACCAAAAAGUCAACAGUUGACCAAAGUCAACUGUAGGUCAAAGUUGUAUAUUUUUUUAUGUAAACUUGAUUUUGGACCUUUUUUUAAUGGAAUAUGUGAAUGUUUUGGUAA